rnacentral:lncRNA from 1 species
UGGUAAGGAAUAAAAGAGAUUUUGAACUUUCUCGUUAAAGUUAAAGGGUAGUGGGUGCUACCCCAACCAUAAGGCUAGGUCCGCCCCUACAUAAAGGGGAUGAUGAAUGGUGACGUGAAGCGAUGUUAUUGGCUGCUUUGUUUAUAGUCGUUGUCAACGACUAUAAUUUUUUAUAAAAAAAACGUUUUUUUAUUGAAAAAUAAAUAAAAAAUCUCUAUUUAAUUCAAACCUAUUUACCAAAAUUUCUUCUACCCCACUCCAAAUUUUAUAAAUUCCUCAUUAGUUUUAUAAAAAAAGUAGACUCACAACCGUUCAUUCAACCCAAACAACCCGUAUGGCCGAGGCAAAACACCAAAUACCACUUCACCUCAAAACCGCCCUCCUCUUCAAGUUCCGGGUAACAUACACGACAUAUCGGCAUACGUGCAUCUUCUAUCGAACUAUAACAUGGUUUAUCCGCCACAAUUACAAAUACUAACUUCCCUCAACAACAUCUCGAUUUUUAUAUCCCAAAUGCCCUUAUACCCGAAUUCGUACCUAAAACGCAACCACAAGAUAUCGUUGAACUGUCCUCACGAAAAAAAGAAACUAUAAGAAGAAAACCAAGGCGGAGAAGGAAAAGCCGUUGUGGACAAAGUUGUUCAUCCAUGGACAAACGAGGAAGAAUUGGUGUUAACAAAAUCUUGAAUUUCUAUUUCGAAGAACUUGGUUUUAGAUACAAAUCAACACCAUGAUGAAUUUUGGGAUCAAAUAAAUAAUCUUUAA